rnacentral:rRNA from 1 species
UACGUAGGGGGCAAGCGUUGUCCGGAUUCAUUGGGCGUAAAGAGCGUGUAGGCGGUCAGGUAGGUCGGUUGUGAAAACUGGAGGCUCAACCUUCAGACGUCGACCGAAACCAUCUGGCUAGAGUCCGGGAGAGGAGAGUGGAAUUCCUGGUGUAGCGGUGAAAUGCGCAGAUAUCAGGAAGAACACCCGUGGCGAAAGCGGCUCUCUGGAACGGUACUGACGCUGAGACGCGAAAGCGUGGGGAGCGAACAGG